CAAAUUCCACAAGGGUCUGUCCUCGGCCCCAUCCUCUUCAUUAUCUACAUGCUCCCCCUCGGCUGUGUUGUCAGCAGACAUGGGAUGUCCUUUCACUGCUAUGCCGAUGACACACAGCUGUACAUCAAAACUGCCCCAAACCCCUCUGCUGCCAUGUCAUGUCUCACUGCCUGUCUUGGGGAGAUAAAGGCAUGGAUGAGAAACAACUUUCUCCAGCUAAACAGCAGCAAAACCGAGGCCCUUCUUGUUGGCACUCCACACCAAGUUCAGUCAUCCUCCAUAACUCAUCUCACUUUCGACAGUCAGGUCAUACCCCUCUCCACCACAGUAACAAAUCUAGGAGUUAGGUUUGACCCUCACCUCACCUUCAACGAUCAUAUAAAGCAUCUGUGCAAAAUCUCCUUCUACCAUCUCAAAAACAUCGCCAAGCUCCGCCCCACUUUAACCCUGCCAGAUGCUGAGAAGCUCGUCCACGCCUUCAUCUCCUCAAGACUGGACUACUGCAAUUCACUGUUCACUGGGAUCACUGGCAGGAACAUCCAAAAGCUGCAGUACAUCCAGAACAGCGCUGCCAGGAUCCUGAUGAGAGUCAGGAAAUACAACCAUAUAACCCCCAUUUUACACUCACUGCACUGGCUCCCUGUCUCAUCCCGCGUCAACUACAAAGUCCUCCUACUCACCUACCAAUGCAUAAACGGUCAUGCCCCCCCUUACCUGCAAGAACUCAUCACUCCCCAAACAUCAACCCGCCCCCUCAGAUCCAAUAACAGUCUGUCCCUGCAGAUCCCAAACACCAGGCUACGCACCAUGGGCGACCGGGCCUUCGCCGCUGCAGCCCCUCGACUGUGGAACAGCCUCCCGGACCACUUAAGGGCAACACAAACACUAGCCUGUUUUAAGACUGGCCUAAAAACCUUUUUAUUCAUAAAGGCAUUUCCUACUUUUUAAAAAUUGUAUACUAGCACUCUGAGAUUCUGCUAGAAUGAAGAGUGCUCAACAAAUAAAAUGAAUUAUUAUUAUUAUUAUUAUUAUUAAAUUUGGGCCAAAUUAGGCGUGCCAAAAGGAGACCAAAACCCAGCCAAAGCCAAUUUUGGAAUACCAAAAUGUAGCCAGAAGUAUCCCAAAGAGUGGGCAAAAUCCCCAGAACCUUGCCAAAAAGAAGCCAUAACUGACACAAAGUGAUCCCUAACUGACCCAAAGUGAUCCCAUAACUGACCCAAAAUGAUCCCAUAACUGACCCAAAGUGAUCCCAUAACUGACCCAAAGUGAUC
rnacentral:lncRNA from 1 species